rnacentral:misc_RNA from 1 species
CAACAAGUCUCUGCACAUAUCUAGUUGGAUCAUUUUUAAAUUUUGGCUGGAAUGGAACUAAUCUAAUUGGUUUUUCAUAACCCUACUAGUAUUUUGCUGGUUGAAAACUGAGUGAGAUCCCAUUUUCCGUUAACCCUGCAAGGACAAGAAAACAUUGUUCGUUUCUAUGAAUUUGUGAAUCUCACUUUUGAAAACUGAAAGAUAAAGCAGCACCAUGCACGCUCAAUACUCCAUCGAGAUACAGAGAGGCUGGUUAAAUAGCCCGUGGCCGUGGUACGACGUACCCUUUAAAGUAGAAGGCUUUUGGGAGUGUUAAACUGCCAAAAUCCCUCUCUCGUAUCUCCCACUACCCUAAACAAUGCAACCCCUUGGUCCCAUCGGCCAGUUCUUGGGACUCGAGAUGAUGGACGAAAUACCCCCUUUCUCAAUAAAAUAACCAUCUUUAUUAUCCAGAAAGACGAAGGAAGAAAGAAAGCGAUGAACCACAAAGAGAUGAAGUUUAAG